CUCCUCCGCCGCUGUGUCUGCUCCCGUUAACUGCUCCGACUGGUCUGAAGGUUUCAAUGUUGCGCUCGCAGAGGAGGAAAUGCCCGGACAGACCCGGUGGACAGGGGACAUCAGGCUCGGGUUACAGCCCUGAUCCAGAGUUUUCUGAUGGACAGAUACAGUCCUCUCCAAAAGUAUUGGAACGAUUGUCUAAAGCUCCUCCAAAGCCGCAGAAGACAUGACAGCUGUUGCCUCUCCAGGCUGCACAUAGGCCAAAGAGCAUGGGGACUAUUGGUGGUCAUUUGCUAUGUACUGUACAAAGUCUGAGUAUAGUAUUUACAGUUUUUAUAGUUUUUCUUUUCCGUUUCAUCGGAUUACCUCAAAGCCAGGUCUGUGUACUUCGGACAACCUGAAUUUCAACCUGAGUAGUGUUGCGGUGGCAGCCCGGCUGACGGUGAGUGCCCUGUGCUCUUUUGUUUCUUUUUUUUUACUUCGUCUAGCAUUUCUGUUUUCUCCCCCGUGUCUCCUCUCCUCGCCUCUCCCUCUCCGCCCUGGAGCCCAGCUGAUGACCGGCACCUGUGUCUCAUCAACCUUCACCUCCGCUCGCCGCACCUGUCUGCCAUCAGCCUCAUCUUCAACAGUAUUUCUACCCCGGUUCUCCACUCCAUCUUCGCUUGAUCGUCGUCGCUCCAGUCCUGGUCCACUCACCUCCGCCAUCCAGUCAGUCAGCCGGGCUCGCCUACCUGCCUUCUCCCCUCGUCUCGCCUCCACAGCGUCCCUCCGGCUUCCCUGCACGCUCCUCACCUCCCUCGCCUCGGCCUCCAGCCCCCUCUCAGCCGCCUCGCUCGAGCAUUGCCAGCCCCGCCUGCUCCUCGGCCCUCCGUGCACUCGUCUGCUGGCGUCCUGCUCACCUCAUCUCACCUCCCGACUCCCCUCUUCCCUUUUUUUUUUUUUCCC